UGACGUUAGCGGCGGACGGGUGAGUAACACUGGGUAACCUACCUAUAAGACUGGGAUAACUCCGGGAAACCGGGGCUAAUACCGGAUAAUACAUGAAACCGCAUGGUUUCAUGAUGAAAGACGGUUUUGCUGUCACUUAUAGAUGGACCCGCGGCGUAUUAGCUAGUUGGUAAGGUAACGGCUUACCAAGGCAACGAUACGUAGCCGACCUGAGAGGGUGAUCGGCCACACUGGAACUGAGACACGGUCCAGACUCCUACGGGAGGCAGCAGAG
rnacentral:rRNA from 1 species